rnacentral:rRNA from 1 species
GUCCACGCCGUAAACGAUGGAUACUAGCUGUUGGGAGCAAUCUCAGUGGCUAAGCGAAAGUGAUAAGUAUCCCACCUGGGGAGUACGAACGCAAGUUUGAAACUCAAAGGAAUUGACGGGGCCCGCACAAGCGGUGGAGCAUGUGGUUUAAUUCGAUGAUACGCGAGGAACCUUACCAAGGCUUAAAUGUAGAUUGACCGGUUUGGAAACAGAUCUUUCGCAAGACAAUUUACAAGGUGCUGCAUGGUUGUCGU